rnacentral:lncRNA from 1 species
UGAACUGAACUGCUACAGAAAUGCAUGUACUGUUGUAUGUGUGUAUUUGUGUUCAGUUCCCGGUUGGAGAGGGUUUCAAUCUGCUGCUGUAUCCGUUAUCUGUGAUGGGGCCGUAUGGAUCUCACACCGUUCUGAUACCAGCGACCGGGACAGAGCAGAACACACAGCGCAGCCAAACUCCACAGGCAAACAGCAGCAAGAUCAGCGCUCAUAGUGAGUCCAAGCCAUUACAUGCAAACAGUGGGUUUCUCCAGCCAGACCCUGCCCCUGACUCCGCCCCUAGUCCCACCCAUCUCCCGUCUGAAUCUUUGCCUUUGCAGGGGCAGUCAGACUCGGGCAGUUCAGAGGAAGAAGCCGCUGCUCAGGUGAUCUAUAUGGUUCCCAUCAGCGUGGGUUCACCCAGCAUGGGUGUGAUGGAGGGCACGGGGCCCAAUCCUGGCCCUGGACCCCUGCAGUUCAUGGGCAGCACCACUCCUGCUGCGGCGCAGCUGGACGCUCGGGGACAGCGGGCACAGACAGAGACGCUCGCUCCAGGAGUCCUCUGACCACAGGACAACACUCGCUGAUUCACUGAUGCCAGUCUUUAAGGCGGAUGAAGUGUUGAGUUAACCUGAACGCUGCAGGAUUAAUGGGUUUAUGGUGAUUAGUGGAGAAAGCUGACUGGGCACAUUAUCAGACAGAUAAUCUCUCAACCUGCUGCACUCAAGGUGAACAUUGCAAAAUAACACAUACUAACACACUAAACACAUAUGAUGAGAGCUAGAUCAAGACAAACGGAGAACACUGAUGUUUCACUGUAAAUUUGUGUGUGGCAGAGCGAAUGCAA